rnacentral:ncRNA from 1 species
UAACAUGAGAGUUUGAUCCUGGCUCAGGAUGAACGCUGGCGGCGUGCUUAACACAUGCAAGUCGAACGAAGCAACUUAUUACGAUUCCUUCGGGGUGACGAUUUGUUGACUGAGUGGCGGACGGGUGAGUAACGCGUGGGUAACCUGCCUUGUACAGGGGGACAACAGUUGGAAACGACUGCUAAUACCGCAUAAGCGCACAGCUUCGCAUGAAGCAGUGUGAAAAGUUUUUUCGGUACAAGAUGGACCCGCGUCUGAUUAGCUAGUUGGUGAGGUAACGGCCCACCAAGGCGACGAUCAGUAGCCGACCUGAGAGGGUGACCGGCCACAUUGGGACUGAGACACGGCCCAAACUCCUACGGGAGGCAGCAGUGGGGAAUAUUGCACAAUGGGCGAAAGCCUGAUGCAGCGACGCCGCGUGAGCGAAGAAGUAUUUCGGUAUGUAAA